AUUCAAAAGGCUCCAACUGAAGUAACACAAGUUUUUAUUAUUCACAGGAAAAGCACCCUUGGCAACCCGUAAUCAUCUCUGUGGCCUUUGAAAACAGUCGUGGUGAGAAAGCAGAGUGUUUCUAGAUGUGGGCCUUACUCUGGCAGACUACUGCGACAAAACUAUUAUUUUCCUGGAACAUUGUCUCGCCCCCUGGUGGACCUCUGGGCCACACAAACGUCAUCAUUCACGCUAUUCAUCUGACGCCUGGGUCCAGACCAUCUUACACCCUGAGCUAUAAGCGGGACACACAGCCGUCGUGUUUUGCUUGAUGAAGCUGUGCGAGGUAUGUUACUUAUGGAUGUAGUGGAACCUGCCUGUUCACCUCAUAAUGCUCCCUUAUUACUUGCUCCAAAGAAACAAGGCGAUUGGCGUAUCGUUGUCGACUUCAGAAAACUCAACGCAUCUACCAUUCCUGACUGUUAUCCAGUGCCAAGGUUUAAUCAUUCAAUUUCAAUAUCAUGUGUAUGUGUGUAUAUUUCUCUUUACUUAUAUGUGUUGUACAUGUUUUAUGUUAUCUUAUCAUGUUUGUAUGUUAUAAUCAAGGUUCUCGUUCUGUACUCUCUCUGAUGUCAUGUAUCAUCUGUUAAUUGCUCCCAUCCUACUGCCUUGUUAUUAUAUUCAAAUAUUAGGGUGCAUUUUUCGUGGGGGAAGGCAUCUGUAUCAGUCUCUACUAUUACUAUUAUUAUAUAUAUGUAUAUUUCACUACUUCAUAUAUUCAUCCCACAUGUACCAUGGCCAGCCAGUCCUUUUUCCAACUCUCAAGGGAAUUUCACACCCACUUCAGUCCUUAAGGAUAACAGCUGCGUUCAUCUUCCUUCCUGGUCAUUUCUCCUCCUUGUCUAUCCAAAGGGAAUUUCACACCCACUUCCAGUCCUUAGGGACAACUAUCUGCGAUCCACUUAGCUCAGAUAAAUACAGCCCACAUGUUAACGAGUUCUCAGUUCAUUUGGGAGUUCAGACACAGUCAGUCAGUCACACAGUCACGAGCAGUUAGUCUUGGUCUCUCACUCAGUAUCACUCACAGUCACAGUCAGCUUGAGAGACACUGCUCAGUCAUCAUCCAUAUCACUUCAGAGAGAGAGAGAGAGAGAGAGAGAGAGAGAGAGAGAGAGAGAGAGAGAGAGAGAGCAAUCAACCGUCAUGUUAUAAUUUUUGUCUCGAAUCCAGUGUGUCUACGUACUAUUAAAUCAAGAACUCUC